UGGCUGAGUGGUAAAGCACUUGGCUUCUGAACCAGGGGUUCUGGGUUUGAAUCCUGG
rnacentral:tRNA from 1 species